GGAAUCUUCCACAAUGGGCGCAAGCCUGAUGGAGCAACGCCGCGUGUGUGAUGAGGGCUUUCGGGUCGUAAAGCACUGUUGUAUGGGAAGAACAGCUAGAAUAGGAAAUGAUUUUAGUUUGACGGUACCAUACCAGAAAGGGACGGCUAAAUACGUGUCAG
rnacentral:rRNA from 1 species